rnacentral:rRNA from 1 species
CUGACCUGCCCAGUGAUUAAUUUAACGGCCGCGGUAUACUGACCGUGCAAAGGUAGCAUAAUCAUUAGUCUUUUAAUAGAGGGCUGGAAUGAAAGGUUUAACGAGGAACUGACUGUCUCAUUUUAUUUGUUUUAAAAUUUAAUUUUUUAGUUAAAAAGCUAAAAUUUCAUUGGAAGACGAGAAGACCCUAUAGAUCUUUAUAGAAAAAUAAAUAAUUAUUAAUAUAUAAAUAUAAUUAUUUAUUUUUCUAUUUUGUUGGGGGGACAAAAAUAUAAAUCUAACUUUUUUAUUUAUAUAACAUUGAUUUAUGAAUAUAGGAUCCAUUACUAGUGAUUAUUAGAUUAAGUUACCUUAGGGAUAACAGCGUAAUCCUCCUCCAGAGUUCAUAUUUACAGGAUGGGCUUGCGACCUCGAUGUUGGAUUAAGAUAAUAAUCAGGUGUAGCCGCUUGAUUUAUAGGUCUGUUCGACCUUUAA